AUUGAACGCUGGCGGCAUGCCUUACACAUGCAAGUCGAACGGUAACAGGUCUUCGGAUGCUGACGAGUGGCGAACGGGUGAGUAAUACAUCGGAACGUGCCUAGUAGUGGGGGAUAACUACUCGAAAGAGUGGCUAAUACCGCAUGAGAUCUACGGAUGAAAGCAGGGGAUCGAAAGACCUUGUGCUACUAGAGCGGCCGAUGGCAGAUUAGGUAGUUGGUGGGAUAAAAGCUUACCAAGCCGACGAUCUGUAGCUGGUCUGAGAGGACGAUCAGCCACACUGGGACUGAGACACGGCCCAGACUCCUACGGGAGGCAGCAGUGGGGAAUUUUGGACAAUGGGCGAAAGCCUGAUCCAGCAAUGCCGCGUGCAGGAUGAAGGCCUUCGGGUUGUAAACUGCUUUUGUACGGAACGAAAAGCCCUGGGUUAAUACCCUGGGGUCAUGACGGUACCGUAAGAAUAAGCACCGGCUAACUACGUGCCAGCCGCCGCAGUAA
rnacentral:rRNA from 1 species